GUCACAUUAAAGCUUGUGGGAAUGCAAGGAUAUGGUGAAAAGACGAGGCCCCAAGGACACGGAUUAUUAACCAUCCACUAAACAGGUAAAGCGACGCACACAAAGUCACAAAUGACAAACAUAACCGAGACUCUGAAAUUGCUGAACUGACAAGAUCGUUGGAACGAGCCUUAGAAAGUAGUAAUAUCGGCUGAUAGCCACAUGUUUGAUGCAAAUUUAAUCCAAACUUUGUAUCAUUUGAAUAUACUUUGUGCAACAUUCAAUUUGUU